AUUCCCCACAGCAGGAACCUGCUUGGUGUGUUGGAGGAGGGGCAAGGCGGCCCGUGUGGCUGGAGAUAGCAGGCGAUGAGGUCACAACAGUAACCGGGGAGUCAAUCCUGCAGGACGCCCUAGGCCUUUGUAAGGUUUUCAGCUUUUUCUCUGGGGUAGGAGGGACAUCACUGGAGAUUUUUGACAGGUCAUGGAGAUAAAAAGGACAGGAAAAGAAGACCGAAACGGAGCAGCCAGCACAAUAGGAGAAGCACAGUUUCGAGGUUCUACAGCCUAACACUUGAGUGUGCGGUUCUGUGCAGACAGACAAUGAAGUUCAGGGCUGCAGGCCGCAGAUCUAAAGGCUGAUCCUGGGUCAGACACGAUCUGCCUAAAUGACCCUGGCAAAUUAUCUGGUCUCUUGUGCCUGUAACUACAUCUAUAAAACGUCAGAAAUAUUGACCUGUCCCCAAGUAGGUGAACUUUAAGAAACAGGCUUUGGAAAUCUUGGGAAGAAUGAUUUAAAAGUACCGCUUCCUGCUGGUGACCCAACCUAAGCAUAGUGUGUGGAGGAAUGCAAACGAUCAGCCUUUCCCAUGCAGUCGGCCGCACUGAAGUACUGUGGGUGACGAAAAUGGAUCUGUUGCCUAAGCUGGGUGUGGAAAAACCACGUGCCAGGCUGGAAAUCGAUGAAUUCACACCUUCUCUCUCGCUCCCUCAAGUUGGGCUGUGAUAUGAAUGACCUUUCCUAGAAGCAAAAGGAGGAAGAUGGAGUGUGACCACAGCGUCUGCUGAAUGUCAUUGAGAUGGUCACAUUCUCACUGACAGAUGGAGACUUGGGCAAAAGACCACUGAGGUGUGCACCUUCCUACCACCUUUGAACAGAACUCCCUCUGCUCUCGUCUCUGCAGCUAUAAGGUUUUCUCCCACCACAUGGAAAGGUGGCAGAAAGCCACAAUUCUGGAAAGAUGAGUGUUGUUCUAGAAAACUACCCUGACAUGCAACAGGCUCGUCAGCCCCAUGGAUGAGAUGUUUUGAAUUUCUUUCCUCUCCAUUUCUACUAUCUUCCUAUUUUUCGUGUAACUAACCUCUAAACCUCUCCUUGGCGAUCAGGCCUCCCUUCUGAUCCAGGUCUCUGCGCCUACUUGCAGCUCCCCACAUGCACCAGCUGUGUUCUUGUCUUCUUUUCAGAAAUCUCCUCUUGCGGGGUUGUUCAGGGCCCAUCUCUGUGUACAGGCCACCGCGUGUCUACCUCACAUCACCCUGUACGAUUAGUGCUGACUUAUCUUGCCCGCUGGACUGUGAGCUCCCAGAGGCAAGAACAGAUUCCCUCACCUCUUUAUCCUCAUCCAGGCUGUGUGGCCCAUGGGCCUCCUUCCCCACCCAUGAACACCGUCCAUUUUGCAGGACAGAUAUGAGCUCCCAGGUAAAACACUACAAAUGGGUGAGCGCAAAUCCCAUAGUCCCCACUUGGAAAAGGAAGGACUGAUCAUAACAAUUUUUAUAGUUUCUCUUUUUAUGGAAAGUCCC
rnacentral:lncRNA from 1 species